CAAUCCUCCCACCACAGCCUCCAGAGUAGCUAGAACUACAGAAUCUCCCAGUUCUGGAUCAUAGCAUUUACUCCUGAGGUAUGGCCAAUCUUAAGUUUCAAGGAAGGCAUCUGAAGUUUCAAGUAUCAAAGUUCUUUACCUUGUUGGGACACAAUUCAUUCUGCUCUAUGGGAGAAGCAAGCUACCAUGUCAUGAAGACACUCAAGCUGACCUAUGGAGAGGUCUAUGUGUUAAGAAACUGCAGAGUGCCACCAACAGCCAUGUGA